AAUUCUAUCCAAGUGACUCUGC
rnacentral:miRNA from 1 species